UUGUCUAUCAGGUCCUGGAUCUUGUGUUUCAAGGCCCAUCAAUCCUGAGUAUCAUGUCCAGGUGCCCCGACAUGAUAAGCGCAUUUCCGAACAGCAUUAAAACCCUGUCCAUUAGGGCUGGCUGGUGGAAGAAGAUGCGUGAUUUUCUUCUGCGUUGUCAGAAGAUUGAGAAUGUUCUCGAGGGUAUCCCCCAAGGGUGUAAACACUUGAGGGCAUUUGACUUCUCCACCUUUUGGUAUUGGAGGGUUCGCAGACUGUGCUUGAAAGGGAGUGUAG
rnacentral:lncRNA from 1 species